UGGACCUCGGGGUGCUGUCCGACCCGGCCUCUGUCCCUUUUGACACGGACAACGAGCUGGAUGUUUUUGAGGGGUAUCUUGAGUGACAGGGCGAUCCUGGAGCAAGAAAAAUAAAUGUUAGUGGCGGUGGUGAUGAUGCAGAUUUCCGGGACAGAUUGGACCAGCGUAAACACUCUGGUCAGUGAUGUGAGGAAAACAUGCCUCAAAGCGGAUGCUGUUUCUCACACAGACAUGUCAAUGAAAAAGUUUUCUCUAAAAGAAGGUAGCCUGAGGAAGAGAUUCAGCACCACCGGCCACAUGAUCAGCGACUGUCCCAUGGGUGGAGCUCUCUGCACCGGAUCAGCUGUCGGUCUAGUCUGAUACCAUUCUAAUAGCAAUUGACUCCAAUUGGACACCAUGAAGUUAGCGCUGGCAUUUGUGUUCACUUUAGACACAAUGAAAGGGAAAAAAAGGAAGCACAAUGUGCUCUAAAUGGAAAGAGACAAGUGAUCCCUGUGGAUGUAAAAUGAAUGUUACCAGAGAUGUGGAGCAUGACUCAGAUCGUCUAAAUUGCGGCCAGUUCAGAUACAGUAGCCUGAUGUGGCUGGCAUUUACACUGGACAACUGCCCAGGCUGUUCGAGAUCUGGUACUCGACUGCUGAAGAAGUGAAGUAAAACUAGCCACUUCAGUCACAGUGUCACGUCCUACACAGUGUGACAUCUCAGAAGCACUGGCAAAGAGUUGGAAAACGAUGUCCACUGUAGGUCUGUUGCAUACUUAAUCACUCACAGUACAACUAUUUGUUCUUUUUUUUUAAGUUUUCAGAAUACAGAAUGCAUUGCUACUUUGCAGGCUCAUAGAUCCUUGAGGUGUACAUUUAAAAUGUGUCUUUUGAGGUCAUCCAUACUGUAUAUUUGCUUCAGGGAUGUACACACUCUCAGGAGCACGGUUAGAAACUGUGGGUGCACUGGCGAGACACUGAUACGAGACACAGGCUGUGAAACAUAGGAGACCCUUAAUCUUUUCAAGCUCUCUUAUGAAUCAGAAACACCGCACUUGCCACACUCUUUACGGCAAUACAGCAAGUAUUAAAGCAUGAAAAAGAACCUCAGAAGAAGUGCUUCGGAUAUUUGACUUUUUCAUCCUUUAAAUGUUGCAUUCGUGUUUUUGUUUUUUAAUGUUACAAAUGUGUGUUAGACACCGAAAAGAUGUGACGCAUGAUAUUAGAUGUGUGUUUUAAAAAGGGUUUAGUUGUCAGAGCUUGGUUUUAUCACACCUUCUUCUGUUCAGUUUGUUAUGAAUUUGGAAUUCUGUUAAAAUGUAUUUUCUUGGCAGCAAUAAUAAACUGAAUUCAAGCAAUGAGGCAAUUCAAUACAAUAUAUUUGCAAGCCUUGAAGGUACUGUACAUACUAUAGGUCUGUGAAGAGCACUUAUAGCCCAGCUGAUUAACUAACAUUGAUUUUUGGAGGCAACACAGAGGAACCAGUAUUUUCUCACAGCGCCUGUCUACCAGAAUAAGCAAAUAUCAAAAUAAAACUAAAAUAGUCAUUGCAAUGUGGUGACGGUCGUCCACCAAAUAACUGACGUUGUAGAGAGAAAACACGUUUAAACAUAUUUGCACAUGCACUGGUCAUACUCUAAACAAGCUUUAGUCCAGGAUUUCAUUGCCUGACAACCUUUCACCAAGAUGGGGUUUUCACCAACACUUAGCCAUUUCAAAUGGCACACUAAAUAUAACCAGAUAAUUGCCCACAACCACAUUGUGAAAUGAAUGAAAAAGAAAAAAAACAUGCUAGACAGGGAUGUUAAAAUAUGAUUGUCAAAAACAUUGACGACAGCGCAGUUUAAUAUGAACAGACUAUGAUAUUUACAAUUUCAAGCUGAUUUCUUUUACCACGCAAGACUGUUUUUCAAAUAAUUCAUAUCAGAAUUCAAUCAGUAUUGAUUAAUUAUGACUUAUAACCAAAUUAUUUCUUCAUUCUGGAUUAAGGCUACCAGUAAGCAAUAUGUUGUGCUGCCAUUUUCAAUGUUUGGAUUGUUUAUGCGUUUGUAUAAAUCAGUGUAUCUAUUUUUGGGCGGGAUAAAAGUGAAUCUGAAACAGCAUUUAGAUCACGUGACACUAAAGCUCAGGAUACUAAUAUUGGUUAAAAUACCGUAAAACAUGUUUGUAUGGCAUCUGAUCAAAAAGAUCAUGGAAACAAUACAAGGAAAGGGCUCACUGUUGAUGAACAGUGAAUCGUAUUCUGAAAAUCAAUUGCGAGUGCAGCUGUGAAAUGGGGAAGAUCUUACUUUUGUAUGAAAACUGUUUAUAAAUCACUGGUGUUAUAGUUGCAGGUACAAGGUACCAAGUUUGUGGCAUUUCCCGGGCUUGAUACCACACUGUGCUGGUCAGGUUUUGAUCCAUUCUGCUCACAUCUUAGUUUAGUGGAAACUUAUGAUACUUCCCAAGGACUGUAACAGAUCAACAUGCAGCCUUUACCCAGUGCUUGUGUCAACCCUCCACAUCUGCUUCUUUGGAAACAUGUACAUGCUAUGAUAAGCAAUGGAUGGUAACAGAGUUUUAUUUUCUAC
rnacentral:lncRNA from 1 species